rnacentral:lncRNA from 1 species
UCCCACUAACCAAUUUUUAUGGGGAACUGAGUUAAUUCAUCAGUUUCUAAAAUCUAGAGCAACCAUAGAAAUAUUGAAUUCAUUGUUUUGACUUUUUGCCCAUCAAUUUCGGUCAAAUAUUUUAAUCAAAAUAGAAACUUAAAGUCUAUGAAAGAAGACUAAUGUAUACCCUGAGGAGCACAUCUCACACUCCUGCUUUAGCUCAUUCUUUCUCAGGAAACAAAAUGUUUUUAAAGACAAACAUCUUAACACAUCUGGUGUGGUUUUCUAGUUAUCCCAUUUAAGCCAAAGGGAAAAAAAAAAGUGGUAUCAUCUGUUUUUCUUUUAUACGUUUUGAAACAUGAGUCUCCAAACGCUAUUUCCUAACAUAUGUCAAUUUAACAUCUGCCAGUUCCUAACUGAUAGCCAGAAACAGCCGCACUGGCGGUACCUGCAAUAGUGUCAAGGUAUUUCCCAUUACAACUGUCUUCACUUUGGCAUUGUCAGUAAUAUUUUUGCUCUAGGGGUAGCCUAUUUCCCUAACUUGAAGGAGACACGUGAAUUAGAAGCACAGAGCAGGAGGAAUAAAUAGGACGAUGUCUUGACAGUUAUAUGGAAGUGUAGCAGAGGCAAGUUUUCCCAAAAAAGUACUAGAUAAGAAAAUCUACGUCACGGGUCACAGAUUGAACUGCUUCUCCUGGCGGAAACAUGCUUUACUAUACCACAUCCUAAUUUCUCCUUGUUAUCUGCUAUCAAGAAUAUUUGCAAACAGAAUUAAGAU